rnacentral:rRNA from 1 species
GGGUGAGUAAUGCCUAGGAAAUUGCCCUGAUGUGGGGGAUAACCAUUGGAAACGAUGGCUAAUACCGCAUGAUGCCUACGGGCCAAAGAGGGGGACCUUCGGGCCUCUCGCGUCAGGAUAUGCCUAGGUGGGAUUAGCUAGUUGGUGAGGUAAGGGCUCACCAAGGCGACGAUCCCUAGCUGGUCUGAGAGGAUGAUCAGCCACACUGGAACUGAGACACGGUCCAGACUCCUACGGGAGGCAGCAGUGGGGAAUAUUGCACAAUGGGCGCAAGCCUGAUGCAGCCAUGCCGCGUGUGUGAAGAAGGCCUUCGGGUUGUAAAGCACUUUCAGUCGUGAGGAAGGUGGUGUCGUUAAUAGCUGCUUCAUUUGACGUUAGCGACAGAAGAAGCACCGGCUAACUCCGUGCCAGCAGCCGCGGUAAUACGGAGGGUGCGAGCGUUAAUCGGAAUUACUGGGCGUAAAGCGCAUGCAGGUGGUUUGUUAAGUCAGAUGUGAAAGCCCGGGG